AACGCACAUUGCGCUCUCUGGUAUUCCGGGGAGCAUGCUCGUUUCAGAAUCAUUACAAUCUCGAAGACGGACUUGGCUUCUUUGGAGCUUUGAGGAUGUCUUUCGGAUGUGGGCUGUUUUUUUGCUCGAUGUAAAAUUUGGGCAAAAUGGCUUGAAAAUGAUUGCUUUCGCCGCCGGUCGUGAGGUCGGUCGAUAUCAAGUGCAACAGAUUUUUUUUUGUUUCAACCUUGAUUUGACCUUGAUCUCCUAUACGUGCUGGGUCUGGCUGGAGAGCUCCUGGGGAAACACAAGAAGUAGGGACGGAUGAGCCUUUCUUCUUGAAGACUUGGUCUGAAAUCGAGCAAGAAAACCCGCUGAACUUAA
rnacentral:misc_RNA from 1 species